rnacentral:lncRNA from 1 species
GAAGUCCUCAAGCAUGAGGCAGGCCAGUGGUGGUCUCAAUUUUGCAAAUCGUGCCAUUUCAGUUCAUGCACCAUGAUCUUCAAGCUCAUGUUUCUCUCUAAAUAGGAACUUUGAGGAGGAUCCAUGGUUACAGGGGUGAGUGGUGGUCUCAAUUUUGCAAAUCGUGCCAUUUCAGUUCAUGCACCAUGAUCUUCAAGCUCAUGUUUCUCUCUAAAUAGGAACUUUGAGGAGGAUCCAUGGUUACAGGGGUGAUGUACAUCACC